ensembl:lncRNA
GGAGGCAUUAGAAGGAUGCAAAGGAGAGAUGGCUUUAGCAGCGACAUUUCAUGGGUUUGUGUGUCUGGCCCCUCAGAGAGGAGGGUAUUGCAGUGGAAUACUUGUGUGGAAGCGGGAGGAGGGAUAGCAUGGGAGAUGUUGAGGGUUUGGGGCAGGAGCCAGCAGCUUAAGGUUAAGAAAAUGAAGAUUCCAUUAAACAUCAUGGAAACGAGUGCAGUUUUGUAUUUGUAAAGUAUUUCCAGUGGCUUCUUCACAGACUGGGCUGAUCCCAGUCCUGGCUCUGAACACACCUGCAAUGGGGACUUUGACUCCAGUGCACAGACUCAAUCCCUCACAUGUAACAGGACCUGAAUUUUCUCAGGGCAUUUGCCUGUACAGCACUGCAGCCAGUAUUGCUGUAACACUUCAGUGAAAAUGCUGCCGAGGGAAGGGCUCCCAGCGGUGUAGUUAAUCCAGCUCCCCAGGGAGGUGGUACCUGCAUAGAGAGAAGCUCUCCUGUUGACAGCUGUCUACAGAUGGGGUGAGGUUGGGAGAACUACAUAGCUCAGGGGUGUGAAUUUUUUACAUCUGAGCGACGUACUUCUACCAAUACAGGCCUGUAAUGUAGACCAGCCCUAAGUCAGAUCUCUGCAUAAAGUGGGGGGAGGGAGAAAGACAUCUCAGACUCUGAAUUAGAAUUUACCAUUUAGCAGAUUGCUGGGGCUCAGUUCUGCCCCCCUUUGCUGAGACUGAGAACUGACUUCCUUGGGGCGGAUGAGGUGGUUUGAUAAAGGAAUCUAGGUAUGUGCAAUAGCAAUAUAAUCACCAAGACAGCUUAUUGGAAAAGAAUAUGCAAGUUGUGCUCAAUGCACCCAGCUACUUAAAGCACGGAUUCAGCUGGUGGGAUGGCAGAUGGCCUUUGUCACUCCUGCUAGCUCAGGCAUCCUGCAGCAGUUGUGUUCUUUCCCCUUCGGUACGUAACUUUUUUUUUUAUCUCCAGGACUCAAGGAAAUUUUUGCUUGAAGGCUUCAGACUGUCUCAUUCCUAUGACCGCCUUGUCCUAACAAGGCGACCAGGAUCCCCUACACUGCUCCAAAGGAGGGACGCAUGGGUGGACAGCUGCAGUUCUUCAUUUCUGCCUCCAUGGCACUGACAUGGAAAAUGUCACAAGGGGAUUUGUUUUGAAAGACUGAUGCGAAAACAGGAUUCUUAUGGAAACUAUUCUCUCAGCCUUAUCGUUAGAUAACAGGCCUUCGCUGAAAUCCACACAGGAGCUAGUCCACCCUCUGGGUAAGUGUGCAAAAUCCCCAUUAAUGACACAGAUUAAAAAUUUAACAGGUCACAGACUUUAAGAAAUACGACUGAGAGCAGUCAGGCUAAGGAGGAUGCACUGGUGCAUGGAAUUGCUGUUCAAACAAGAGUAGGACACAUGCUAUGUACCUACAGCAAGCUGCACUUCCGGCUCCCAAGACCUGCUAAGGGCAGUUAUGCAGUGCAGUUGAUUCAGCUCCCACGCCACUGGACACAGUCAGACGGCAUUUAAACACCCACUGUAUAAAGUGUGAUCAACCCAGCAUCUUGAGCACAACACAUGGUUUAGCCUGGCUUCUGGCAGGAACCAAGCCAUGCUUGAGGGGGACCUGAAGCUGAUGUUACAGAGUUUGCCAGCCAGUACCAUUUUCAGCAUAAUUCUACCCAAUUAAGUUUUGCAGUUGGCAUGGCCUAAAAGUAUCUUUUAGAAUUCAACAGCUGUCUCCACAUUCAUUCCAGUGCAGGGAGCAAAGAGCACAAGCUAAGGGUGGGGUGAGGAAUGCAUUCAUUAAAACUGAUUUUCAAAUAUUAAACUAAUUUG